UAUGCUCCCAGGGCUGAGAACCACUGACCUCGAUUUUUAUUUACAAAGAUCAGUCAGGGAGUGUGGAGGACAGAGAUGAUUCAGGGGAGAGAAGUGAGGGCCUGACCUGGACCAGAGGGGACAGGAAUGGAAAGAAGAGGGUAGAGAUCACAGAAGCAGAAAGAGCAAGGGCCAGCCGGGUUGAGGCUGAAACGGAGAAUAUGAAGUAGAAAGUGAAAAUCACCCUUAAUUCCAACCCCUGGAAGUGCCCUGGUGGAGAAAGAGCAAAGCCCCUGACAGCUGGGAGCUCGCCUGCCCGCACAGCCAAGUCUCGGUCUGCUCCUGCCGGGAAUGGCCAGCGUCACAGAACUACUGGAUUGUGAAGGUCAAGACAAAAACAAGGCCAUUCUGCAAUCACGUCUGAAGGAGACAAAAACAAGAGCAUUGUACAAACCGGAAAAAUAACACACCAUCCCCUCCAUCCCGGCUAAUGGA